rnacentral:rRNA from 1 species
CCUGGUGGCGAGUGGCGAACGGGUGAGUAAUAUAUCGGAACGUACCCUAGGGAGGGGGAUAACGUAGCGAAAGUUACGCUAAUACCGCAUACGCUCUACGGAGGAAAACAGGGGACCGCAAGGCUUGCGCUCAUGGAGCGGCCGAUAUCGGAUUAGCUUGUUGGUGGGGUAAAAGCCUACCAAGGCGACGAUCCGUAGCUGGUCUGAGAGGACGACCAGCCACACUGGGACUGAGACACGGCCCAGACUCCUACGGGAGGCAGCAGUGGGGAAUUUUGGACAAUGGGGGAAACCCUGAUCCAGCCAUUCCGCGUGAGUGAAGAAGGCCUUCGGGUUGUAAAGCUCUUUUGUCCGGAGCGAAACGGUUAGCGUGAAUAUCGCUGACUACUGACGGUACCGGAAGAAUAAGCACCGGCUAACUACGUGCCAGCAGCCGCGGUAAUACGUAGGGUGCGAGCGUUAAUCGGAAUUACUGGGCGUAAAGCGUGCGCAGGCGGUUUUGUAAGCCAGAUGUGAAAUCCCCGGGCUCAACCUGGGAAUGGCAUUUGGGACUGCAAGGCUUGAG